AUCGCUUCUCGGCCUUUUGGCUAAGAUCAAGUGUAGGAUUUUAGCUACUAAGCUACUGUGCUGGGCCUGGCAAAGUACUCUUACAAUGCUAUUCUACUUUAUAUAAAUUUGGGGUGGCAACACACAAAAAUAAUAUUCAUCAUUCCUUUUGUAAAGCAUAGUACAUUUAUAUAAUACAUGUAUUUUUUUUAAAUUCU